UGAAGGGCAUCCUUGCAACGAGUUCACGGCAUACGUUAUGGCUCACAUGGGCAAGGCGACGUCCGACAUCGCCUUCGACCCGGCGGCUCCGCCCGAGGCCUAUAGCAACCCGAACAUCCACACCCGCGUGACUCGGUACACAGAGAUAGGAAAGGUGCUCCACAGGGACACAUGGGAUCCGGCCACCGCACCCCUUUCUGGAGAAGCCAUCAUGAGGGCGGGAGGAGGGAAGAAGCAUGGUCGGUACUGGCUCGGCGACAGCAUAGUCGACACGGCCAGUACGCCCACUCUCUCCCAGCUUCGGGCAAGGACCACUGACUCGACCUCGCCCAUACUUCCACGGCCCGAGAUUUCAGUGGCCAGCAUGUAUGCAUUCCAGGUUAUUUCUGAUUCAUUCGUCGGUUGUUUACGUACCUUUGUUUCGCAUUUUGACUUUGGGGUGAAAUCUUGUAGGCCCGGCUUGACGAAGAGAAGAGACUGCGGCAGGAGUUGGAAGAGAGGUUGGAGCAGGAGCGGAAGCAGAGGGAGGAGAAGGACCAAAGGUACGCCGCCAUGUUCGCCUACAUGCAAGGUCUAGGUGCAUCGAUAAACUAUCAACCACCGCCAACAAUGCCGUGGCCAACGCCAACUGCACCUCCACCACAGUUGCUCGGCGCACCGAUGGUAUUUCCUAGUGCAGUCACCCAUAAUCUAUCGGGGGUGGCAUCGAAUGAGCCUCCAGAUCAGCACUCCCCGGUGCCACAGUGGCCAGGUUCAAGAUCGGAGCAGAGAUGAUUAAGGUAUCGUUCGGUUGUCAUGUGUGCGCUGUACUAUGGACUAUGAUAUUAGAUUUGUGGUUGUUAGACUGCCGGAUGUUGGACUUGUAGCUGUUGGACUUGUCGAUGUUGGAAUAAUGCUUGUACUAUGGACUAUGAAUGCUUUGUGGACUAAAUUUGAACAUUAUGUGAUAUAAAUGUGAUGUUUGUGAUGGAAGUCA